AAUUUUCCUCUGUAAAUUUCUCUGCUUUUAUCAGCUCUUUUAUGAAUAGUGACCCUGGUCUCACUAGACUCUUCCCCAAAGCUAAAUCCUCAGGAGGGGAGAGUUGAUAGAUGUUGUUGGCCAUGCAUUUGGGACCAAAUAAAAACCAACUUGAAGAAGCUUCAUCAACUCUGUUUUCAGAACUACCAAACUGGGUGUCUGCCCAAAAUUCUUUGGGAAGGCUCUCAAGAAACUGUUCCAAGACAUAGGAAGGGUGGUGGUGAGUAUCAGGAGCCAAGGCUGUUAAGAAGACAGAAGCUGAAAUGUUUUGAGGGAAUUUCUCCAUGGCUAAAGCCAAGCUCAUGCCACCAAAGCUAUGGCCAACCAAUAUAACCUUUUCAUUUGGACCAACACAAGCCAUGGUCUUCAACAAUGGCUCUGAAUACUCUUCAAGCGACUUAACCUCCUGGAUUGCCUUCCUGUGGACCCCGGCCCCCGCCAUGUCCAACACCGUUACACGGUGGCCGGCCGCCUCAAGCAGCGGCUUGAUCUUGUACCAACACCAAG
rnacentral:misc_RNA from 1 species